rnacentral:rRNA from 1 species
UACGUAGGUGGCAAGCGUUGUCCGGAUUUACUGGGCGUAAAGAGCGCGCAGGCGGUCGUACAAGUCGCGUGUGAAAGCCCCCGGCUCAACUGGGGAGGGUCACGCGAUACUGUUCGACUCGAAGGCAGGAGAGGGAAGCAGAAUUCCCGGUGUAGUGGUGAAAUGCGUAGAUAUCGGGAGGAAUACCAGUGGCGAAGGCGGCACUCUGGGCCGUGACUGACGCUGAGGAGCGAAAGCGUGGGGAGCGAACAGG